CUACGGGGGGCUCCAGUGGGGAAUAUUGCACAAUGGGCGCAAGCCUGAUGCAGCCAUGCCGCGUGUAUGAAGAAGGCCUUCGGGUUGUAAAGUACUUUCAGCGGGGAGGAAGGGAGUAAAGUUAAUACCUUUGCUCAUUGACGUUACCCGCAGAAGAAGCACCGGCUAACUCCGUGCCAGCAGCCGCGGUAAUACGGAGGGUGCAAGCGUUAAUCGGAAUUACUGGGCGUAAAGCGCACGCAGGCGGUUUGUUAAGUCAGAUGUGAAAUCCCCGGGCUCAACCUGGGAACUGCAUCUGAUACUGGCAAGCUCGAGUCUCGUAGAGGGGGGUAGAAUUCCAGGUGUAGCGGUGAAAUGCGUAGAGAUCUGGAGGAAUACCGGUGGCGAAGGCGACCCCCUGGACGAAGACUGACGCUCAGGUGCGAAAGCGUGGGGAGCAAACAGGAUUAGAUACCCCAGUAGUC
rnacentral:rRNA from 1 species